GGCAGACGGGUGAGUAACAUGUAGGUAUCUACCCUAUGGCCUGGAAUAACACGAGGAAACUUGUGCUAAUACCGGAUAAGUCUUUACGGAGAAAGCUUCAUGCACCAUUGGAUGAGCCUGCAAUUGAUUAGUUUGUUGGUGGGGUAAUGGCCUACCAAGACUGUGAUCAAUAGCUGAUUUGAGAGGAUGAUCAGCCACAUUGGGACUGAGACACGGCCCAAACUCCUACGGGAGGCAGCAGUGGGGAAUCUUGCACAAUGGAGGAAACUCUGAUGCAGCGAUGCCGCGUGAGUGAAGAAGGCCCUUGGGUUGUAAAGCUCUUUCGUCGGGGAAGAAAAUGACUGUACCCGAAUAAGAAGGUCCGGCUAACUUCGUGCCAGCAGCCGCGGUAAUACGAAGGGACCUAGCGUAGUUCGGAAUUACUGGGCUUAAAGAGUUCGUAGGUGGUUGAAAAAGUUGGUGGUGAAAUCCCAGAGCUUAACUCUGGAACUGCCAUCAAAACUUUUCAGCUAGAGUAUGAUAGAGGAAAGCAGAAUUUCUAGUGUAGAGGUGAAAUUCGUAGAUAUUAGAAAGAAUACCAAUUGCGAAGGCAGCUUUCUGGAUCAUUACUGACACUGAGGAACGAAAGCAUGGGUAGCGAAGAGGAUUAGAUACCCUCGUAGUCCAUGCCGUAAACGAUGUGUGUUAGACGUUGGAA
rnacentral:rRNA from 1 species